CCUACGGGACGCAGCAGUGAGGAAUAUUGGUCAAUGGGCGGGAGCCUGAACCAGCCAAGCCGCGUGAGGGAAGAAGGUACAGCGUAUCGUAAACCUCUUUUGUCAGGGAACAAAGGCGGGGACUAGUCCCCGGAUGAGGGUACCUGAAGAAAAAGCAUCGGCUAACUCCGUGCCAGCAGCCGCGGUAAUACGGAGGAUGCGAGCGUUAUCCGGAUUUAUUGGGUCUAAAGGGAGCGUAGGUGGAUUGUUAAGUCAGUCGUGAAAGUUUGCGGCUCAACCGUAAAAUUGCAGUUGAAACUGGCAGU
rnacentral:rRNA from 1 species